UACUUAUAAGUGUACGGGGCCUCCUCCGGAAAAGAGAAACCCUAUGGUUCUCGUGCGGUGAUGGCGGCUAAAGGAGGAGGGAACAUCGGCUCCACCUCCAUCGAUGGCGUGAACCUCUUCUCCCUCUCGGGCCAGCGCUUCGUGUCCACUUGGCUUCCUCCCACGAAGCUUAGAGCCCUUCGCAAAGACAAAGACUACCCGCAGAGGGUGGACUUAAUUCAAGAUUUGAGAUUUGAGACUGCAACUACCAAAUUAAAGGUGACUCCUGAUGGUGACUAUGUCAUUGCAUCAGGUAUUUAUUCUCCUCAAGUUAAAAUGUUUGAGCUGAGAGAAUUGUCAUUGAAGUUUGUAAGGCACCUUGUUUCAGAAAUUAUUAAUUUUCAGGUAUUUUACUCGCUUUACUUCUAUGUGUUCUCUGCAACUCAGGUUUUCUAGGCAUGUAUAGUUUUACUAUGUAACAGAGAGGUCAUAUUUUGCAUUUGUUUGGGGUUAAUCUUCUAAAUGUUUACCUUCUUCAUUUGGUGAUUCUUCAAUUGUUUAUAUUUAAUUGCAUGGUCAGUUAGCUUCUUUACUAAAUUGAUCUUUAUGUCAGAGCCAAGAUACAUAUCAUACUGCACCAGCAGAGAGCCAAUGUACUGCAACUGUGUUAGAAUGACUUCCAGACCAUUAUUUGGGUUGGUUUUGGAGUUUUGGGUUAAUUGUUGCUAAAUCAUAUGUAGGCAGAAUAAAUUUUUACUCGAGUAUGUUCCAAGGUUUAAAUAAUUGAAAAUAUUUUAUGGUACCUUGUCUCUCAGUUGUUUCCAAGUUCAGGUUGAGUUUGAAUAAUGGCUGUCACAUGGGCAGUCAGUCGAUUGAUGGCUGUGCCAAAUUUUGAAGUCCUUUAUAAAAAUCUCAAAUUUAGAAGGCUUUGGAAUCGAUUGAAGUUGUUAACAAGUAGAUAGUUUUUUAAAGUCUUAGUUCAAUAUGUUGUAAGUUUGGUUUCUCUGACCAAGUGAUGCAACUAAGGUUCAAAAUUAGAAUUCAUCAUAGGCUAAGUCAACCAUUUGAAUUGUGAGUUUGAAAUGACAGAUAUCUUUUGUAAGGCCGAAACAUACAACAAAUGGACUAAAAUAAAAUAUUAAGAGAUUUGUCAGUUGGUCUCUCUCUCUCUCUCUCUCUCUCUCUCUCUCUCUCUCUCUCUCUCUCUCUAUAUAUAUAUAUAUAUAUAUAUAUAUAUAUAUAUAUAUAAAAUUCUGUUACCAGCUAGACUGCUACCAAUUUGUUACAUUUGGAUGAUUUCUGUUGUUUGUAGCUCUUCUUAUAAUGCUUUUCUCGGUGUCUGUUGGUUGGUUUCAUAAGAUGGAUUCGACUACUUGGUCGUAGUUCCUAUUCUAUGCAUGCAGCUAUUAGAUUGGUUCCAUAUGAUAUAUUUUGUUGUUUUCAUCUUUAUUGUUAAAUAUUUCUGCAUGAAGUAAUAGGAAAUUUUGAACAGAAAAUAGCUUUUUCAUGUGUCGAUCGAUCCGUGUGUCUUCAUGCAAAAUAUGGAAAUCACCAUAGCUUAAGGAUUCCAUGGUUUGUCAACAGACUGAUAAAAAUUGAUUUUCUUUACUUUUGUCUCUUUGCCAUAUUGGAUGGUAACUAUUUUGUACUAUGAUGUUGCUGGUAUAUGUUUUAUUUAUUUUAUCAAGUAUUCUUUAUGACCCUUGUGUUUGUCUGCCAAUUACUGCUAUUGGCAGUAGGAUCUGACCCAAGGCAAUAAGUAUUCAAGAUCUACGGCUUGUGCCUUAGGAUUUAUGGUCAAGGGAUUCAUCCAUUGGUGGCCUCCUCUAUCAUCUUUGCUCACUGGUAGGUCCUCUCUUUUCUUCCCUCUUCUUUCACCCUUCUCUUUGUGGAUUCUCCGUUGCCACUGUCCUCUAUUCGCCCUUCCUGUCUCCCCCUCCUCCUUUCCUUGCAUCCAGCAUCCCUAGCUGCCGUGAGAGAUGGUUGGGGAUAUGGGUUCCAACAUGACAAUUUGACAUGGGUAUCGUAGUAACGUCACUAGUGUCAUACUUUAGACAACGAGCGAGACUAAAGACAAGUGCAAAAGCAUCAAGUUCAAGGGUAGUAGACGUUGAAGUGGAGGAAGUUGAUUUUGAUGAAACGAAAGAAUAGAUGAUGGAUAUAAAACAAGUGAUGGAGCAGAUGAGAACAUGGAUGAUGUUGAUGAACAUUAGAUUUGUUUGAUUGGUAGAUGUUUGAAUUUUUAUUCUGUUAAUUGAGUGCUCUAUAGAUGGCUACACACAUUGUGAUUUGGUGUUUGUAAUCAUCUUGCAUAUGUAAUGAUAUCUCAUGUUUGGAUUAAAGUUUUAGAUUUAAUAUUCGUCUGUAUAAUGGUAUCUUAUUUAUGUUCUGGCAGAAAAGUUGGGAAAACAUAUAGAGGGUUGCUUUUAUAUUCCACCUAAAACUGACAAACAUGUUAAAACCUAGGAAGGAGAACAAUUGAGUAUGAUAAUAAUAUUACAAAAUAUAUUCUAAAGUAAACCUCAUGAAGCUUAUGUUUUGGUGACUUGUUAAUUUUUUAAUAUUGGAAGGAGAUAAAAUCUUUGUGCUUCCUUUGGAAGGAGGUUAAAUCACGAUAUGUCAAUCAUCUUCCUUGCAGUAAUCUGGACCAACUGUAGCUAGCAGCUGCAUUAUUAUUUAGGUGGUUAGGCUUACUCUCUUGAGCUGGCAUUUCCUAGCUCCUGGUGCCUAUGGGAAUUCGUUAUGGGCCACACUGAUGUAUCAGAGCUUUUCUUUUAGGUGGCUUCUUAUUUAUUAUUAUUACUUUGAUCAACGGCUACAAAAUAAGAUAAUUUGAAGAAUUUUGUGGUUUCAAAUGUAUGCUAUAUGUUCAACCAAUAAUUGUUUACAAAUAAUAAAAUGCCCUUAUAGCAAGAUAUAAACCAUUUAUGUAUUUUUUUCUGUGCUGUCAUGUGUCUUUUAUUAAGGAUCUAGCAGAUUUAUUCUUUAGCUGGAACCUGAACCCACAUUUAUCAUUUGUUACUUGAUUGUUUAUUCAUAUAUUGGCAUCUACUUGGGUUACUAUAGGGCGGACCCCCUCCCCCUUUUCUCUCCCUCUUUAUUCCGUCAGAAAAAAAAAUCAUAUUAUGGUUAUUAUGGCAUUUACUUUCUGGUCCUAUUUAACUUCGAAUAUUUUCUCAAAUUAUUUAAUUCCUAAUUAACUAUUAAAUUGUCAUUGAAUCUAAUGGUCUUGACUGUUGACAUACUUGAGGGAAAUUUUGUGGUUAUCUUUGGAAUUACUAUGUUUUGUAUUUAAUGUUGAUCUACUGAUGAUGGAUAAGAUGGAUAUAUGAUUUUGAAUAGGAUAUUUAAUCUCAUUUAUACUAACCACAUACUUGUUAAUGAAGAUGAAUUGGUUAAUGAAGCUGAAUUGAUGAUUUACUGGACCUCUCUUUACAAGUUUUUGUUUUCUUUCUAUAUUUGUGAAGCAUUAUAUUGUAGGUGACUUCUUUCUUGUUGAUCUUAUGUUAAACUGCAUAAAGAAUGUUGAAGAUCUGACGUACAUAUAUUAUAUAGAUAUAUACUCAUUCAUGUAUGUUCACAUAUAAUAUAUAUAAGUACAUGUUUAUGUGUAGAGAGAGAUUUAACUAUAAUAAUCUUAAGACUUCGUGUAGUUCUGGGUUAAGGGGGUUUAAGCAGGUUGUUAUUGGCUUAACUCACUAAAUGAUAUGGAGUCAGGAAUUACUCAAUAUUAAGAACUGAUGGUGUAUAGGUGCAGCAAUUGUUGAAGAAUUUAUUCCAAUCUUGAUAGCUAAUAUAGGAUUACAGUGGAUGUUGUCAUGUUUCAAUUUAUGAAAUUUGCAAAAUACCCCAAAAUUUUGAAUGAGAAAUACAAUAGAAUGAUCCUGCAUCAAGUUCUUGAUGUAAAACUAAAAUAUGUAUGAAUGAAUUAUUUUUAUAUUAAUUUUUUUCAUGCAAGUUUCAUAUGAAACUCAUCAAAAUUACUGUUAUACAAGGUGUCCUAGGUUUGCACAAUUUUAAGAUUGGCACAUGCAUAUAUUCAUCCUUUGAGGUUUUAACGUGAGGUAGCUUUGGAUUUUAUGAAAUAUGAUAACACACAAGAAGCUGCAUUAUGUUGAAUUAUUGCACGUCCGACUUAUUACUGACUUGGUUUUCAUAUUUUUGCCAAGCUUUAAUAAGCUCUUGUUAUACCAUGGAAAACAGACAGCAGCCGACUUUUUUGGAUAAUAAGGAUAUGAUGAACAAACAUGGCCGCCGCCGCCGCCCAGCAUACUCUGACAUGCUUGGCUUAACCAUUUUUUAACAGGGUGAGAAUACGACCAGCAUAGAACCAAACUCUGGAGCAAUCAAUGAUAUGUGUUUUCAAUGAGAGUGGCUUGAUGUUGCUGGCUUUAGUCAGCAGCCAGAUACCAGCCUACUUUGUACUUGCUCUUGGCCCUGCCUCGAAGUGGUACUUCAUACUUGUACCUAGAAAACCUGACAUGACGAUGUUAUAGCUUACCAAUCGUGGCUUAUUUUCUAAAAAUUCAAAUUCUUUUGGCGCCUUUAUGUGCUGAAGCCCAUUGUCAUAUCUACUUUCUUAGAGGAAGAAAUGGAGUUAGGGUCACAAACGACCAAUUAUGAUGAUUUCAAAUUUUUAACUACAGAAAAGUUUGAAUGUCUGAAACUUACCAAUUUGAUUGGCACCAAUCUCUUUAGGGCCUACAUGCAUGGUUUCUUUAUUGAUCAUCGUCCGUAUAAAAAGGCAAAGGCUUUGGGGAUCCUUUUGCAUAUGAUGAAUACAGGGAGAAACAGAAGAAAGAGAAGAUGGAGGCUAAGCAAGCCUCACAUAUUACGAUACAGAAAAGGUUGCCUAAAGUAAAUAGGCUCCUUGCAGCUCGCUUGCAUAUUGCAGAAGAAAGUGAAAUGGAGAAUAUGGAUGACACAGUUGCAAAAAAAGAAAUCAAAUAAAAACAGAGUAUUAACUAGUGAGAUCCAUAGAGAUGCACAUUUUGCA